rfam:Ailuropoda melanoleuca scaffold3940_1, whole genome shotgun sequence.
GGGAAAAGAGGAUGGGGCUGGGGAGACUCUCCCCAAGUCCUCCUCAGGCAAAUAGGCUCA